UACGUAGGGGCUAGCGUUGUCCGGAAUCAUUGGGCGUAAAGAGCGCGUAGGCGGCCAGAUAAGUCCGGUGUGAAAGUCACAGGCUCAACCUGUGAAUGCCGCUGGAAACUGUCUGGCUAGAGUCCGGAAGGGGCGAGUGGAAUUCCUGGUGUAGCGGUGAAAUGCGCAGAUAUCAGGAGGAACACCGGUGGCGAAGGCGGGUCUCUGGGCCGAUACUGACGCUGAGGAGCGAAAGCGUGGGGAGCGAACAGG
rnacentral:rRNA from 1 species